GAUAAACGCUGGCGGCGCACAUAAGACAUGCAAGUCGAACGAACUUAAUUUUAAUAUUUAUAUUAAAAAGCGGUUAGUGGCGGACUGGUGAGUAACGCGUAAGCAAUCUGCCUAUCAGAGGGGAAUAACAGUGAGAAAUCAUUGCUAAUACCGCAUAUGCCAUAAGAAUCACAUGAUUCUAGUGGGAAAGGAGCAAUCCACUGAUAGAUGAGCUUGCGUCUGAUUAGCUAGUUGGUGGGGUAACGGCCUACCAAGGCGACGAUCAGUAGCCGGACUGAGAGGUUGAACGGCCACAUUGGGACUGAGAUACGGCCCAGACUCCUACGGGAGGCAGCAGUCGGGAAUAUUGCGCAAUGGAGGAAACUCUGACGCAGUGACGCCGCGUAUAGGAAGAAGGUUUUCGGAUUGUAAACUAUUGUCGUUAGGGAAGAUAAAAGACAGUACCUAAGGAGGAAGCUCCGGCUA
rnacentral:rRNA from 1 species